GGUGGAAGGCUACAUCGUCACAAACAUGUCUGACUUCCGUUCGAAACGCCAUUGUGUUCCGGAUUGAUAACAUUAUGUCGUGGUACAAAAUAGCUAUACACCGUUUAAUUGAACUCUUCUAACUAAGGAGACGAGAUAGGACUGGAAUCACCAAAACGCUUAGAAAAUAUGUCAAUUUUCUUCCUGUUUAAAGCUUUUAACUAACAUUGAUUAUCAGCUGUUUUGUACGGAAAACGUGGACUCUAAAUAAUAUACCGUUUCCCUGCUCUGCUGCUAUUGGCAAUACAUUUUUGUCAUGUCAUCUGCAACAGACGAUCAUACAUAUGUGGCGGAUUAUCGAUAUAGAUACAGCUAGGUAGCAUUAGCAGUGGAAGCCCGGAUUUGCAAGCAAAAUGAGGGAAAGACAGGAUUCUGAAAAGGAGCAUGUUUUUCAUUUCCACACAUGCAUGUGUAUCACUAUGGACAUCUAAUGUUUUUGUGGGAUUUUGUCCAGCAGUUUGCCUUAACAGAAUUUUUUUAUAUUUUAGUUUCAUAUUUAUGUGGAUUCCAAUAAAAAUCAUACAAACUUCA